rnacentral:misc_RNA from 1 species
AAACUGCGAUAAGUGAUGUGAAUUGCAGGAUUCCGUGAAUCAUCAAAUCUUUGAACGCAAGUUGCACCUCUCGGUUCUCCGGGAGGGUACACUCGUUUGAGCGUCACCCCAUCACCUCAAAAUCCCCUCCAGGAUUUUGGAGACUGGGUUGUCAACAAGACAAUAUCCUUGUUGUCCCCUGAGUUGGAUGGAGGGCAAUGGUGUGGACUCUGAGACAAGAACUACAGUUUUGGGCGGGUCUCAAGACUCUCUCCCCUCAAUUGUGGUGUUUCGUGAGUUCAUGCCAUGUUUUCCAUGGGGAACAACCCAGCAUUGGUUCUGGGUUGCUAUCACUUCAGUGACCUCAAAUCGAGUGAAGCUACCCGCCGAAUUUAA